UAAGACCUGCAGGACUUUAUCCUACAUUAUCUGAAUGCAACCCAGAUACUUUAAUUAAGCUAAGACCUU
rnacentral:tRNA from 1 species